rnacentral:lncRNA from 1 species
GUCAGCGGCGGAUCCAAGGUUCAAGGGGAUACACAUAUGUAUACUCAUAUACUCAUGUAUGUACAUCAUUGUUGUCCAUUUACAGGUUUCGCCCACUGAGGAAUGCUUUGGAAUGCUCCGAUCAGAUCUUUAUACAUGUGCAAUGUCCAAGGGUUUCGAAAUUCGUGUCAGUCAUCGCGAAGAAACAGCGUAGCCAGGGGGUUGGCCGACUGUUGCCACUGUAGGACCCUACAAUUAUUGAAAUUAACAGACUAAUUAGACAAAUCGAUCAAAUAUUAUGGCACGUUCAUUCUGUAAUUACCAGUACCCAUUGCUUAGGGUACAAGGGUGACCGAGUAUUAAACCAAAAUCAUAUUUACCGACCGCACAAGUUUUCCUAUAGCAGGUACAUUAAUAGCCGAAAAGAUUCAAUUAAACACAAUGUACUCGAACAAUGGUUAUCUACAGACACCUCAAAUGUACAUAUGGGGGUUUUUCUCAUACAUAUGUAUGUAAUAAAAAUUUGUUAAUUGUUAAAACGUUUUUCUAAUGAUAACGUAUCUCUUGAGUAGCCCUAUAAGUUACAGUUUCGAGCGGGACAAAAAUUGAAGCGGAUUUCGUGGCCAUCAAUUCCAACUCUGCCAAAUUGUAUCCAAUAUAUGUAUUUUUAUGUAAAAUGGUUAUAUAAUGGAUUUAAUUUAACACAAAUUGGAUUCCUAUGUUUUUAAAAAUUAAAUUCUCGUACGGGAAAAUAGUUUUAAUGAUUUAGAUAGAUUAAUAUGUUAGAAAGAGUUUGUGGAAAAAUGGGCAUACUCGUAUGUAUUAUUGUUAGCUAAAAAUGUUUCUAAAUAUCUAGGCG